CAGAAAGAGCGUCAACUAUAAUUGCUCACGUCAAUUAUGUUAACAUAAAACAAUGUUAAUCUAGCUUUAUGAAGUACCGCUAAACAAUCGAUGUUAAUAUCAAAAAGAGACACGUUAGUUCAACAUUUAGUUAGCAGAAGAGUUUGCACAGAAGAUAAAAUACUUAACGGCAUCUCUUUCGGUUUUACGUCCUGAGUUCAUAUUCCGCCGAGGUCGACUUUGCUUUUCAUCCGUUCGGGUGGUGUGGAUAUUAUUGGAUUAUAUAGUAGAAGUUACGCCUGCCCCAUAAAAAUGUGAUGCGAUAUUAAUGUUUACAGUCAAUUUAGGCGUUCAUCUCAAAGAGUGCCGUUAAAGAGAACACCUGGGAAGAUAACGAGUUGAGAAGAAUUGCAGAUUUCAUCUAACAACCGAGAUUCGAUUGUGAAACAUUUUCCUUGUUAUUCUGACACUGAAAGGAAAGAGAUCAUGUUUAAGGAACCUAAACGAAGCUUUCUUCGAACUACAAUAUAUAGGUAAACUAGCAGAGGCACCCGGCGUUGCUCGGGAAUGAAAUUGUUGCUUAUAUACUUGAAGAAAAAAAGGCAAAAUAUGCUGUAUAGAAAUUUGAGAGGACAUUCUGUAGAUGGACUCUCAGAUGAAUGAUGGCUGAGCGCCUCUCAUGAAUGGGGAAAAUUGAAG